rnacentral:piRNA from 1 species
UAAGAAUUUCAGCUUUGGGUGCUGA